UGAAGGCUCUGGGCUGCUUUUUAUUCUAUUUCAUGUUCAUCUACCAUCUAAAUCCAGAAGGCUGUAUGGAAAGCUACUUCUUCUUUUCAGCUCUGGAAGCUGGCACCACAAGUCAUGCAGGCUUAUCACUGGGCCAUGCAGAGUGCUCUACUUUUCUGGUGUCUUCUCUAGACCUAGAGCUGUUGAUCAAUUGGUGUUAUAAUAGGUCUUACAGUGGGAUAAAAGUUAACUAACACAGUCACCCUCAAGAUGGAUGUCAAAUUAGUGUAUUUACAACUAAAAACUCAGUUUAGUGUCCUCUUAAUCAAUGAGGGGGAAAAAGGCACAUGAGACAUACCAGAACUGCUAACCUUUUCUGCAACUGCCAGAUGAUUAUACUUGUUUAAAAAAACCCAAAACUGUAGUGAUCAGGAACUCACCGUAGACUCAAACUUUUCAAGAUACUUUGCCUUUAAUUUCAUUUGCUAGUUGGAGUCUUGAAGUGUAGGAAAUCACAGAAAAUGUCUUGCAUUCCCAUAAUAAUAUUAGCUCACAAUUGUCUUCUGCUUAUAAUUGAGGUUUUACAUGUAAUCAUACAAUUGUAUAAAUUUAUUUCCUUUCUACAUAAAAAUUAUUCUGUGUUCUACUGCAAAAUUUAGUAUGAGGAAAGCAAACUCUGAUUGCAGUUUCUUAAUCAACGGUUGAUGUGGUGUCAGAGCUCACUUCUGAUUUAUGAAGAGAGCCUGUCACGGAGGCUGCUUCCCAGCAUUGGCAAGUGAAUUACAAGGCCAGCAGAGGAGAUGGAGAUAUUGGUGUUUGGCCUGUGAAGCAGCAGUGGCACCUCUAGACCGGAUGAUCUUUCAUGUUUCUAGGAUACCCAAAUUCAUAACUCAGAAGGAAACCCUUUCCAUGUAGGUCUAAUGCUUCCCUAAGCAGGAUCAGCUGUCUAAUUGAAAGAACUGGCUUUAAUGUUUGUUGCCUUGGAACUCAUUACCUCUUCUGUGGUUAACCACAGGAAAAUUAAGGCAGGUUGCCAACAGGACACAGCACCCAACACAUGAAUAGUCCCUUCAUGUCCCUCAGGCAGGCUGGAUGGGAGCACGUUGACCUUUCCUGCUCUCCUUCCCGUGCCUGCCAGUGUAAGGCAGGGGGCCCUUGUGGUUCCACUGAUUCACUUCGGAGUUGUUGCUGGUUGGCUGUGUUUGCUGGUGGAGGGCCAACUCAUUUUUGACAGGCUUGGCUUUGUAUCCAUUCUGGGAACAUUGUUCCACAUCAGCUUUUUUAGCAGUUAAGUUAAACCUGCAAAAUUGACUCUGUCUUUUCAGUCCUAGGCCUGUUUUAUUGGUAGCUUCUCUUCUUCCAUCCUGCCCUUCCCUGAUUGUACUAAUAUACAUGGGGCUAGGCUGUGGUUGAAGCAAUCCAAUACAAAAUAGCUAAUGUCGCUGAAAACAUUAACCAAGUUGCCUGUGACAGCUUGUAGCAGUGAAGGUGUGAGCUACUUGGGCUCUAUUUAUGAAGAGCUUUUGUCACAGUUGCUUCUAGAUGUUAAAUCUCAAGGUCAAAUUGCUUUUGACAAGACUGGAAAAAAUGUCUUAAAUCUCUUGAUUGCAAAA
ensembl:lncRNA